GACCCCUAGAAGAAAAUUAGGUAGAUAGGCUCAAGGUGUAAGUGUAGCAAUACAUUCAGCUAGCGAGUACUAAUAGGUCGAAGACUUGACCAA
rnacentral:rRNA from 1 species